UACGGGAGGCAGCAGUGGGGAAUAUUGCACAAUGGGCGCAAGCCUGAUGCAGCCAUGCCGCGUGUAUGAAGAAGGCCUUCGGGUUGUAAAGUACUUUCAGUCGUGAGGAAGGUGUUAAGGUUAAUAACCUUAGCAAUUGACGUUAGCGACAGAAGAAGCACCGGCUAACUCCGUGCCAGCAGCCGCGGUAAUACGGAGGGUGCGAGCGUUAAUCGGAAUUACUGGGCGUAAAGGGCACGCAGGCGGUUAAUUAAGUUGGAUGUGAAAUCCCCGGGCUUAACCUGGGAAUGGCAUUCAAGACUGGUUAGCUAGAGUCUUGUAGAGGGGGUAGAAUUCCAUGUGUAGCGGUGAAAUGCGUAGAGAUGUGGAGGAAUACCGGGUGGCGAAGGCGGCCCCUGGACAAAGGACUGACGCUCAUGUGCGAAAGCGUGGGGAGCAAAC
rnacentral:rRNA from 1 species